rnacentral:lncRNA from 1 species
AUUUUUUGUUGUCUCUUCAAUGGUCGUUUCUUGUACAUGAAAGUGAUUUCUUGUGUUAUAAGUAUUCUUGCUAUACCCACAUCAAGUUUUAUUGUGAAAUAAAUUCUCCAAUGAGAAAAACACCUAGUUGCAAUCCUUGAGUAAGUGUAUGAGUAGGUAUUUUAAGGAACACGUUCUAGCUUUAAUGGUAACCUGGACCCUUAAAAAUCUUCAGAGUAAAAGUAGUAUAAGUUUGUGUGGGAAUAAUUCUAAUGUGAUGAAAUGUGUAAACCGAAAUGGGGCGGAAGGAUAUCACCUCACGUGGAAGAAAGGAUACCCUCUCACUGACUUCCUAAAUGUGGUGAUGACUUCUCAAACAAAUUGUGCUUGAAUUAAACCCUCUAAAAAGAGGAACUUCCUAAGUGAAGUAAACAAGUUGUAGCACUACUUAGGGUGAUCAUAGAAACUUGGAGGAAAGGAUACCCCCUCACGGACUUCCAAUGUGAAAUGAUAGCCCCUAGGCAUCUACAAGCCCCCAAAUGUAUAAAUUCAUCAAGUCUAUCUUAACUCUCCCACUUCUCUUAUAUGAAAUGAAGAAAAGAUUUUUCUCGGUCAUUUUAGUGUUAAGGUUAGAACCUGUUCCUCAUAAUAUCUAUCUUAUACAGGAGCAAGAAAAGGGUUGGACUACACACACAUACACUCACUUAAGAUUUGUUGUUGGGUUGAAUAAGUUUACAAAGAAUACUUGAAGUUGUGAUUAGUGUACAUUGAAAGGAAACCUCAAGGGAGACAUAAGCUUUUAUUUUGUUUGUUUUGUGUUGUUUUAUUUUGUUUUGUAGGUAUUUGUCCAAAUAUGAUGCAAAAAAGUGAAGAAAAAAAAAAUUGAAGCCAUUGACCAGAAACCCACCCAAAAAAAAAUAAAAAAAAAAUUCUUCCCUCUUUUUCCAGAGAGUUGGCACGGCCCGUGCCUGUGUUGGCACGGCCGUGCCAACCCAUCAGCAAAAAAAAAAAAUUUAUUUUUUUUAUUUUUUUAUUUUUUCUUCCUUAUCCAAAUCAAAUAACAUCUAUAACCCUUCUUCCGUAAUUCUCUCCAAACUUCACCAACAUCCAUCCACCCACAACCAAACCAAGCUAAGGUCAAUGGCAUCAAAAAGGAAAGGUGAGGAUAUUGAAGCCUCCGGAAGUGGUGCAAGCAAGAAGCAAUCAACAACCCGCAAUCAUGGGAUCCAAUUCAAGGAUUCCGAGCAAAGAAAUAGGUAUAAAUCUCUAAUCUCUAGAACUAUCUCUCCUUGCAGGUACCUUGAUGUUAAUGCUAUGGAUAGACUAGAAAUAGAUGAACAUAUGAUUCGGCUGUUGAAUAAAUUCACAACCUUGUGCUUAGGUACCUUCACACGGUUAUUGCUUGCACCAUAUGGGGUAGAAAAGAGGUAGGAAUGAUGAGGAAUGUUGAGCUAUUUUUGUUGUGGGCUAUGCUUUAUAACCACCAUGUUAACAUUUACUAUUAUUUGAUUUAUUAUCCUGUUUCAAUUGCUAGAAAGAAACUGGAUAUAAAGGUGAUAUAGUGGUAGGUGGAAUCAUCACUUUCAUUGUUAGAAAAUUUGAGGUAAAUGUGAAUAAAGGGAUAAAUAGGAUUGAGGGAAACUACUAUCUAGACUUAGAAACCCUCACUACCAUGUUUUUUUUAGAAUUCAUGGCCCUUCUCACAAUUACCAAUAUGAGUGGAGAGUCAAUACUACUAAUUUCUUGAUUAUUCUACCUAAUUCAGAUAUUACUAAUUCGGAGGUGGUAGAAAACUAGGUUUGUGUUGGCACUAACCCACAGGUACACAAUGAUGGUGAUGAAGAGGAGGUAGGUGCAAAAUUGCACCAUUAACAAGAAGCCGGUGGAAACUAUAAUGAUGAACGGUGGGCAUGGAUGCAAACCAAAGUUCAAAGAACAUGCACCGAGCAAUAAAGACAAGGUGUUAAAAUGAUCGGGCUAAGAAAUGAUGUCCUAAGGGGCACUCAAAUAAAUGAAUAAAACAAUCAAAUGUUCCGAUACAUGAUGCAACACCUUCACCUCCAAGGUCCACCUUAUGGACUUCAAUAAAAUUGUGAGCUCUCCUCUUCCUUUACUCUUCUCUACUUCUCUUCUUUCUUCAUCCUCUUCUUCUUUUUCUUCUUCUUCUUUUAAAUCAUUGAGGACAAUGCUUCUCCUAAGUGUGGGGGGAGCCUAAUAAAGUGUCUUUAGUCGUACUGUUUCCAAACUCCCUUGAACUUUAUUCUUUUGUUGUGUUUUAUUGUAAAAGGCAUGAAUAAGCAGCUCGUUUUUAUUGUUUUAUUAUGACAUAAUUUUUUGUUGUCUCUUCAAUGGUCAUUUCUUGUACAUGAAAAUGAUUUCUUGUGUUAUAAGUAUUCUUGCUAUACCCACAUCAAGUUUUAUUGUGAAAUAAAUUCUCCAAUGAGAAAAACACCUAGUUGCAAUCCUUGAGUAAGUGUAUGAGUAGGUAUUUUAAGGAACACGUUCUAGCUUUAAUGGUAACCUGGACCCUUAAAAAUCUUCAGAGUAAAAGUAGUAUAAGUUUGUGUGGGAAUAAUUCUAAUGUGAUGAAAUGUGUAAACCGAAAUGGGGCGGAAGGAUAUCACCUCACGUGGAAGAAAGGAUACCCUCUCACUGACUUCCUAAAUGUGGUGAUGACUUCUCAAACAAAUUGUGCUUGAAUUAAACCCUCUAAAAAGAGGAACUUCCUAAGUGAAGUAAACAAGUUGUAGCACUACUUAGGGUGAUCAUAGAAACUUGGAGGAAAGGAUACCCCCUCACGGACUUCCAAUGUGAAAUGAUAGCCCCUAGGCAUCUACAAGCCCCCAAAUGUAUAAAUUCAUCAAGUCUAUCUUAACUCUCCCACUUCUCUUAUAUGAAAUGAAGAAAAGAUUUUUCUCGGUCAUUUUAGUGUUAAGGUUAGAACCUGUUCCUCAUAAUAUCUAUCUUAUACAGGAGCAAGAAAAGGGUUGGACUACAC